CUACGUGCCAGCAGCCGCGGUAAUACGUAGGUGGCAAGCGUUGUCCGGAAUUAUUGGGCGUAAAGCGCGCGCAGGCGGAUUGGUCAGUCUGUCUUAAAAGUUCGGGGCUUAACCCCGUGAUGGGAUGGAAACUGCCAAUCUAGAGUAUCGGAGAGGAAAGUGGAAUUCCUAGUGUAGCGGUGAAAUGCGUAGAUAUUAGGAAGAACACCAGUGGCGAAGGCGACUUUCUGGACGAAAACUGACGCUGAGGCGCGAAAGCCAGGGGAGCGAACGGGAUUAGAUACCCCGGUAGUCCUGGCCGUAAACGAUGGGUACUAGGUGUAGGAGGUAUCGACCCCUUCUGUGCCGGAGUUAACGCAAUAAGCACCCCGCCUGGGGAGUACGACCGCAAGGUUGAAACUCAAAGGAAUUGACGGGGGCCCGCACAAGCGGUGGAGUAUGUGGUUUAAUUCGACGCAACGCGAAGAACCUUACCAGGUCUUGACAU
rnacentral:rRNA from 1 species